UACGUAGGUGGCAAGCGUUGUCCGGAAUUACUGGGUGUAAAGGGCGUGUAGGCGGGGCGGCAAGUCAGAUGUGAAAUACCGUGGCUUAACUGCGGGGGUGCAUCUGAAACUGUCGUUCUUGAGUGUCGGAGAGGAAAGUGGAAUUCCCAGUGUAGCGGUGAAAUGCGUAGAGAUUGGGAGGAACACCAGUGGCGAAGGCGGCUUUCUGGACGAUAACUGACGCUGAGGCGCGAAAGCGUGGGUAGCAAACAGGAUUAGAUACCCUGGUAGUCCACGCCGUAAACGAUGGAUACUAGGUGUAGGAGGUAUCGACCCCUUCUGUGCCGGAGUUAACACAAUAAGUAUCCCACCUGGGGAGUACGGCCGCAAGGCUGAA
rnacentral:rRNA from 1 species